rnacentral:lncRNA from 1 species
AACCCUUCUAAGAGAGGUUGCUGGUCUUUUCUGCUUCUAGUAUGUAUUGCUUCCUACAUACACAAGAAACAAACCCUAAAAGCACUUUUACAGAAAAAUAAAAUAAAACAAAAAUACACAAAAAUAAAACAAAAAAAAUAAUUACAGCCAAGUCAAAUUCAGUCAAUCCACACUACUUGAAAAAGUAAACCUCGAGUCCCUGGCAACGACGCCAAAAACUUGUUGACUCACUGGCAAGUGUACCAGAUCGUUCCAAGUAAUAUAAUUGGUAAAAACCCAAUAUCGUUUUUCCCUAGAGACUCGAAAGGCCUUAUCGUUCGUGUGAAUUAAAAUCGUAGGAAUUGAAAAUAAAAAUUAAUUGAUUGGAUGUAAGAACACAAAAUAAACAUGUAAAAGGGAUUGAUUCAAUUGACAAGAAGAAAACUAUGGAUGAAUGGAGUUGUUGGGGGUUUACAAUUUCAUCUUAUCCGCUCUCUCUUAUUUACUCCUCUUGUUUAAAUUGCUUGAUUAUCUAAUUGUUAUGCAACUUUCUUGGCCUACCCUUAACCCGAUCCCUCGGCGAAAAGAGCCUAUUACUAAUUAUUGGCUUGUUAUCCCUAGCCUCCCCUAGCAAUUAAAAAUGCAUUAUAGAACAGAAGCGAAAACAAUUGAUCGUCCUACCCCUAUCCCUAGGUGGUAUUGCUUAAUCAAGGAAUUACUCACAAGUUCAUGACAUUAUUGUACGUCCCCGUAUCAAUAAAGACAAACAACAGUUAUCGAAUGAGUUAAACGAUAAAGGCAUUAAGCACAGAUGAGAACCCAACAAUUAAUAAUCAACGCAUAUGAAAAUC